rnacentral:rRNA from 1 species
CAGUAGCCGCGGUAAUACGUAGGUGGCAAGCGUUGUCCGGAAUUAUUGGGCGUAAAGGGCUCGCAGGCGGUUUCUUAAGUCUGACGUGAAAGCCCCCGGCUCAACCAGGGAGGGUCAUUGGAAACUGGGAAACUUGAGUGCAGAAGAGGAGAGUAGAAUUCCACGUGUAGCGGUGAAAUGCGUAGAGAUGUGGAGGAACACCAGUGGCGAAGGCGACUCUCUGGUCUGUAACUGACGCUGAGGAGCGAAAGCGUGGGGAGCGAACAGGAUUAGAUACCCCUGUAGUCCCUGUCUCUUAUAA